rnacentral:rRNA from 1 species
GAGUUUGAUCAUGGCUCAGGAUGAACGCUAGCGGCAGGCUUAACACAUGCAAGUCGAGGGGUAUUCUAGCAAUAGGAGAGACCGGCGCACGGGUGCGUAACGCGUAUGCAAUCUACCUUUCACAGAGGGAUAGCCCAGAGAAAUUUGGAUUAAUACCUCAUAGUAUUAUGGAAUGGCAUCAUUUUAUAAUUAAAGUCACAACGGUGAAAGAUGAGCAUGCGUCCCAUUAGCUAGUUGGUAAGGUAACGGCUUACCAAGGCGACGAUGGGUAGGGGUCCUGAGAGGGAGAUCCCCCACACUGGUACUGAGACACGGACCAGACUCCUACGGGAGGCAGCAGUGAGGAAUAUUGGACAAUGGGCGCAAGCCUGAUCCAGCCAUGCCGCGUGCAGGGUGACGGUCCUAUGGAUUGUAAACUGCUUUUGCACAGGAAGAAACACCCCCUCGUGAGGGGGCUUUGACGGUACUGUGAGAAUAAGGAUCGGUUAACUC